rnacentral:rRNA from 1 species
AAAACCACGAGUUUGAUCAUGGCUCAGAGCGAACGCUGGCGGCAGGCUUAACACAUGCAAGUCGAACGGGCGUAGCAAUACGUUAGUGGCAGACGGGUGAGUAACACGUGGGAACGUACCUUUUGGUUCGGAACAACUGAGGGAAACUUCAGCUAAUACCGGAUAAGCCCUUACGGGGAAAGAUUUAUCGCCAAAAGAUCGGCCCGCGUCUGAUUAGCUUGUUGGUGAGGUAACGGCUCACCAAGGCGACGAUCAGUAGCUGGUCUGAGAGGAUGAUCAGCCACAUUGGGACUGAGACACGGCCCAAACUCCUACGGGAGGCAGCAGUGGGGAAUAUUGGACAAUGGGCGAAAGCCUGAUCCAGCCAUGCCNCGUGAGUGAUGAAGGCCCUAGGGUUGUAAAGCUC